UAAACUAGGAUUAGAUACCCUMUUMUUAAAAAAUUAAAGAAAUAAUMCUAAAAGAGUAAGUCAAAUUUUAUUGAAACUUAAAUAACUUGGCGGUAUUUUAGUUCACUCAGAGGAAUCUGUCUAUUAAUUGAUAAUWCCGAAUAAAUUUACUUAAUUUAUUAUUUUGUAUAUCGUUGUUUAAAAAAUAUUUUUUAAUAAUUAAUAAUAUUUCAACUCUUCAAUAAAAAAUUAAAUCAGAUCAAGAUGAAGAUUAUAAUUAAGAAUAUAAUGGAUUACAAUAAAUUUAUUUAUUAUGCAAUUUUAACUAGCAAUAAAUUCCACAUMUCCACACACCCCUUG
rnacentral:rRNA from 1 species